UAGUAACUGCGAGUGAAGCGGGAAAAGCUCAAAUUUAAAAUCUGGUGGUCUUUUGCCCAUCCGAGUUGUAAUUUAGAGAAGCGUCUUCCGCGCUGGACCGUACACAAGUCUCCUGGAACGGAGCGUCAUAGAGGGUGAGAAUCCCGUCUUUGGUACGGACCCCCAGGGCUUCUGUGAUGCGCUCUCGAAGAGUCGAGUUGUUUGGGAAUGCAGCUCAAAAUGGGUGGUGAACUCCAUCUAAAGCUAAAUAUUGGCGAGAGACCGAUAGCGAACAAGUACCGUGAGGGAAAGAUGAAAAGCACUUUGGAAAGAGAGUGAAACAGUACGUGAAAUUGUUGAAAGGGAAACGCUUAAAGUCAGUCGCGUCGACCGAGACUCAGCCUUGCCUCUGGCUUGGUGUAUUUCUCGGCCCGACGGGUCAGCGUCAAUUUGGUCCCUCGGAUAAUGGCAAGGGAAAGGUGGCACCUUUGCGGGUGUGUUAUAGUCUUUUGUCGCAUGCGAGGGGUGAGAUUGAGGAACUCAGCACGCGCGCCCUUCUGGGUGUGUCGGGGCCUCGGCCCACGCCACGUGCUUAGGAUGCUGGCGUAAUGGCUUUAAACGACCCGUCUUGAAACACGGACCAAGGAGUCUAACAUGCCCGCGAGUGUUCGGGUGGAAAAACCCGUGCGCGUAAUGAAAGUGAAAAGUUUGGGACCUUCGUCGUGAAGGGCACCGACGCCCGGACCAUACU
rnacentral:rRNA from 1 species